GGAAGGAUCAUUAUCGAAUAAGUCUGGUGGGAGGCUGUUGCUGGCUCAAUGAAAAAAGAGCAUGUGCACGUCUCUUUAUAAUACCAGUUUUCAUUCACAUGUUCCUGUGCACUUUUGUAGACAACUUGAGGCAAAAUCAAGGUGUCUAUGUUUUUGUAACAGACGCAAUGUAUGUAUUACAGAAUGGGAUGGUUAAUAAAUGAAGUUAUAUAUAACUUUCAACAAUGGAUCUCUUGGCUCUCGCAUCGAUGAAGAACGCAGCGAAAUGCGAUAAGUAAUGUGAAUUGCAGAAUUCAGUGAAUCAUCGAAUCUUUGAACGCACCUUGCGCUCCUUGGUAUUCCGAGGAGCAUGCCUGUUUGAGUGUCAUUAAAUUCUCAAAAUCCUCUCUCACUUGUUGUGGGGGGGGCUUUUGGAUGUUGGGAGUUGCAGGUUUUGUAAAGCCAGCUCUCCUCAAAAGAAUUAGCAAGGGGGAUAAUAUGGUGUUUCCUUCAUUGGUGUGAUAAAAAUGAUUUACACCAUAUACAAACGCCUCUUAUGACCUCUGCUUUCUAAUACUUUGCUGUCAAAAACAGUAACUAAUAAUGAUCAACUUGACCUCAAAUCAGGUAGGACAACCCGCUGAACUUAAGCAUAUCAAUAAGCGGAGGAAAAGAAACUAACAAGGAUUCCCUUAGUAACUGCGAGUGAAGUGGGAAAAGCUCAAAUUUAAAAUCUGGCAGCCAUUGGUUGUCCGAGUUGUAACCUAGAGAAGUGCUACCUGUGCUGGACCAUGUAUAAGUCUCCUGGAAUGGAGUGUCACAGAGGGUGAGAAUCCCGUCCUUGACAUGGAUUGCCAGUGCAUUAUGGUGUGCUCUCAAAGAGUCGAGUUGUUUGGGAAUGCAGCUCUAAAUGGGUGGUAAAUUCCAUCUAAAGCUAAAUAUUGGCGAGAGACCGAUAGCGAACAAGUACCGUGAGGGAAAGAUGAAAAGAACUUUGGAAAGAGAGUUAAACAGUACGUGAAAUUGUUGAAAGGGAAACAUUUGAAGUCAGUUGUGUUGGUUGGGGAUCAACCCGGCAUUUUUUGCUUGGGUGUAUUUCCUGAUUAACAGGUCAACAUCAGUUUUGACCACCAGAAAAAAGUCAAGGAAAUGUGGCACCUUCGGGUGUGUUAUAGUCCUUGGUUGUAUAUGGUGGUUGGGACUGAGGUAUGCAGCACACCAUAAGGCUGGGCUUUUGGUUACAUUUGUGCUUAGGAUGUUGGCAUAAUGGCUUUAAGUGACCCGUCUUGAAACACGGACCAAGGAGUCUAACAUGCCUGCAAGUGUUUGGGUGGAAAACCCAAGCGCGCAAUGAAAGUGAAAGUUGAGAUCCCUGUCAUGGGGAGCAUCGACGCCCAGACCAGAACUUCUGGGACGGAUCUGCGGUAGAGCAUGCAUGUUGGGACCCGAAAGAUGGUGAACUAUGCCUGAAUAGGGUGAAGCCAGAGGAAACUCUGGUGGAGGCUCGUAGCGAUUCUGACGUGCAAAUCGAUCGUCGAAUUUGGGUAUAGGGGCGAAAGACUAAUCGAACCAUCUAGUAGCUGGUUCCUGC
rnacentral:misc_RNA from 1 species